UGUUCUGCUGUGUUCGUGUUCGCCGGAGCCAGAAUAAAUCCUGCUUUUGAUUUUCUCCCUGGGAGCGUCCUUGUUGGCCUCCGGAUCGCCGCAGGGAGAAACGAACCCCCCCAGUCCGGUCUGGGCGGAGCGUGUGCUCGGGGGUCCGGGGGGACACCUUCUCAGCUGCCUUUGGCAGUGGGAGGGAAGGGGAGGAAUGGUUGUCUUUGUGCCCGUAAACAAUGGCCCAUGAGGACGCGUAAUGCUGCCCCUAACGACCCUCGCGAUGGGCUGUGAGGGGGAAAGAGGAAACCUUAAUGAGUGUCUAAAAAGAGGCACAACCAUCCACUGCUGUGAAGGCAGAAGGUACUGCAGAGACUCAGAGCCUGAUGAGGAUCAAGGAAUGGAGGUAGUUUGUGGAGUCAGAGCCCUUCAGUGUGGGAAUAGAGGAGGUUUUUGACAUCCUGCCACUGUACAGUGUGCUGCAGCCGAGUGAGAGCCAGCGGGUCAUGUUCCCCCUCUUUGGCCGUGCAGAUAUUGUCGCCCACGUCAUGGCACUGUGCAGGGUGGAGGGAGGC